AUUGAACGCUGGCGGCAUGCCUUACACAUGCAAGUCGAACGGUAACAGGCCGCAAGGUGCUGACGAGUGGCGAACGGGUGAGUAAUGCAUCGGAACGUGCCCAGUAGUGGGGGAUAGCCCGGCGAAAGCCGGAUUAAUACCGCAUACGACCUGAGGGUGAAAGGGGGGGAUCGCAAGACCUCUCGCUAUUGGAGCGGCCGAUGUCAGAUUAGCUAGUUGGUGGGGUAAAGGCCUACCAAGGCAACGAUCUGUAGUUGGUCUGAGAGGACGACCAGCGACACUGGGACUGAGACAAGGCGCAGACUCCGACGGGAGGCAGCAGUGGGGAAGUUUGGACAAUGGGCGCAAGCCUGAUCCAGCAAUGCGGCGUGCAGGAAGAAGGCCUUCGGGUUGUAAACUGCUUUUGUCAGGGAAGAAAUCUUCUGGGUUAAUACCUCGGGAGGAUGACGGUACCUGAAGAAUAAGCACCGGCUAACUACGUGCCAGCCGCCGCGGUAAAAC
rnacentral:rRNA from 1 species